AACGAACGCUGGCGGCAUGCCUAACACAUGCAAGUCGAACGAGACCUUCGGGUCUAGUGGCGCACGGGUGCGUAACGCGUGGGAACCUGCCCUUAGGUUCGGAAUAACUCCCCGAAAGGGGUGCUAAUACCGGAUAAUGUCUUCGGACCAAAGAUUUAUCGCCCUUGGGUGGGCCCGCGUUCGUUUAACUAGUUGGUAGGGUAAAAGCCUACCAAGGCGACGAUCCAUAGCUGGUCUGAGAGGAUGAUCAGCCACACUGGGACAGAGACACGUCCCAGACUCCUGCGGGAGGCAGCAGGGGGGAAUAUUGGACACCGGGCGAAAGCAUGAUCCAGCCAUGCCGCGUGAGUGAUGAAGGCCUUAGGAUUGUAAAGCGCUUUUACCCGGGAUGAUAAUGACAGAACCGGGAGAAUAAGCUCCGGCAAACUCCGU
rnacentral:rRNA from 1 species